rnacentral:rRNA from 1 species
AUUGGGGUAUUGGCCAUGGGCGCAGCCUGAUGCAGCCAUGCCGCGUGUGUGAAGAAGGCCUUCGGGUUGUAAAGCACUUUCAGUCGUGAGGAAGGUAGUGUAGUUAAUAGCUGCAUUAUUUGACGUUAGCGACAGAAGAAGCACCGGCUAACUCCGUGCCAGCAGCCGCGGUAAUACGGAGGGUGCGAGCGUUAAUCGGAAUUACUGGGCGUAAAGCGCAUGCAGGUGGUUUGUUAAGUCAGAUGUGAAAGCCCGGGGCUCAACCUCGGAAUUGCAUUUGAAACUGGCAGACUAGGGUACUGUAGAGGGGGGUAGAAUUUCAGGUGUAGCGGUGAAAUGCGUAGAGAUCUGAAGGAAUACCGGUGGCGAAGGCGGCCCCCUGGACAGAUACUGACACUCAGAUGCGAAAGCGUGGGGAGCAAACAGGAUUAGAUACCCUGGUAGUCCACGCCGUAAACGAUGUCUACUUGGAGGUUGUGGCCUUGAGCCGUGGCUUUCGGAGCUAACGCGUUAAGUAGACCGCCUGGGGAGUACGGUCGCAAGAUUAAAACUCAAAUGAAUUGACGGGGGCCCGCACAAGCGGUGGAGCAUGCGGUUUAAUUCGAUGCAACGCGAAGAACCUUACCUACUCUUGACAUCCAGAGAACUUUCCAGAGAUGGAUUGGUGCCUUCGGGAACUCUGAGACAGGUGCUGCAUGGCUGUCGUCAGCUCAUGUUGUGAAAUGUUGGGUUAAGUCCCGCAACGAGCGCAACCCUUAUCCUUGUUUGCCAGCGAGUAAUGUCGGGAACUCCAGGGAGAACUGCCGGGUGAAAAAA